CUUAAAUAACACAUGAGAACACACACAGGAGAAAAACCUUAUGCUUGUGAUGUGUGUAAAAAAUGUUUUGCAAAUUCGAAUUACUUAAAAAGACAUGUACAAACACACACUGGCCUUAUGUUUGUGAAGACCUUUGCACGAAUAGAAUAUUUACAUUCACACACGACAACACAUUUAGAGGUGAAACCUUACAUUUGUGAAGUGUGUAAUAAAGGUUUUGGACUAAUGCGUAAUUUAAGAUCCCAUAUGAAAUUGCAUGCCGAAGAAAAACCUUAUGUUUAUCGACUCUUCUUUGACGAAGAGCGUAGUGAUGAUUGUUCUCGAGUAUUAAGCUAUCGUUCCAUCGUCUUAAUAGAAUGACCACGACCUUCAGUGCUGCCGUCAUUGAGGUGGCAGCGACUAUCAGGACACCGAGCCAGUGAAUUGAUUUAGAACAUAAAUAUAUAAUAAUAAAACGUUUUUUUGUU